AACAUUGGGCUCCCAUGGCAGUGGAUCACUCGGCUUGUGGGUCGAUGAAGACCGGGGUAAAACCCGAGAGUGUUUGCGAAUUGCAGGAACACAAACA
rnacentral:rRNA from 1 species